rnacentral:rRNA from 1 species
AUACUCAAAAUGUCUGGGUAUAACAAUCACUUGAUUCAACUGGGAGUUAAUCUUCCGGAUGAUAGCGUCAUUGACAAAAUUCUUCAAUCACUGCCACCAAGCUACAAGAGCUUCGUGAUGAAGUAUAACAUGCAAGGGAUGGAUAAGACGAUUCCCGAGCUCUUCGCAAUGCUAAAGGCUGCGGAGGUAGAAAUCAAAAAGGAGCAUCAAGUGUUGAUGGUCAAUAAGACCACUAGUUUCAAGAAAAAGGGCAAAGGGAAGAAGAAGGGGAACUUCAAGAAGAACAGCAAGCAAGUUGUUGUUUAG